rnacentral:rRNA from 1 species
UGGCAGUCAGAGGCGAUGAAGGACGUGCUAAUCUGCGAUAAGCGUCGGUAAGGUGAUAUGAACCGUUAUAACCGGCGAUUUCCGAAUGGGGAAACCCAGUGUGAUUCGUCACACUAUCAUUAACUGAAUCCAUAGGUUAAUGAGGCGAACCGGGGGAACUGAAACAUCUAAGUACCCCGAGGAAAAGAAAUCAACCGAGAUUCCCCCAGUAGCGGCGAGCGAACGGGGAGCAGCCCAGAGCCUGAAUCAGUGUGUGUGUUAGUGGAAGCGUCUGGAAAGGCGUGCGAUACAGGGUGACAGCCCCGUACACAAAAAUGCACAUACUGUGAGCUCGAUGAGUAGGGCGGGACACGUGGU